rnacentral:lncRNA from 1 species
AUAUUUAAAAAUUAAAUUAAAAAGAGUUUUUCGUCGAUGUUUUGGAAGACUUUAUAUUCACAUUUGAAAAAAAAAGAAGAAGAAGCAAUAAAACAACAUGCCAUGAUAACUCACUGAUAAAAUACAACAAUUAACUAAGAAGAAAAAGGACUGUUGUCGGGGUUCCCAAUAAAUUAGAGAUUAUGGAAUAUCUCUAUGAUGGUAUCGGCAUCUAAAAAAGAUACACAGAAUUUUAGCCAGUAGUGCAUGAAAAGUAAAUAAUUGAGGGGCGGAAGGAAGGAAGAUGGCAUGCAAACAAGAAGCAAAUCCUGUGGGAGCCGCGAAAGGAUCUAUCUCGUCUCGUGUUACAAAUAUAUUGCAUUUUCAUUCAUUUUUCCCUUCUGCAUUUGCAUGCCCUUCCUAGUCCCUAGAUAUCAUAUCUUCACGUUUUCCCUUUGCCUGCAAAAUGUCCUUUUUUGCCUUCUUUUGAACUAAUAUUUUAUUUUAACAAUAAAAAUAUUGACACUUUUUCAGUUUGAGAAACACCUUGUGAAUAUAGUUUAUUUAACAAUAAAAAUUAAUUUAAAAGAUGUGAUUAUGAUACCUUAUGUGCACCAUAACCUAUAACCUGACAUCGUUAUAUGGUUUUAAUUUAUUAACUUUUAAUAUUUUUUAAUUAUUUGUUGUAGGGUACGGUAUCCUUAAAAAAUUAUAAAUAGUCCCCAACUUUAAAGAAUUAAAGAAUUAAAAGUCAUAUGAAUGAUAAAUAUUUGGUCAUCACAAGCUUAUUUAAAACAAAAAAAUUCUAGAAUAAAAUGGAGUGUUGGAAAAAUAACAGUUUCUAAAACAAAUUGACUGAUAAACUUAUAAAUAUUACUGUGGCAAUUUUAUAAAAUAUAACAGUGGUAACUAAUUUUAUAAAUAAUAUAUGUUAAUUGGCAAUCUCUAUCUUACAUGCAUGUAAGAUACAUUCUCCUCACAUGAAUAGUGUAUGUAUGGGACCCACACACUAUUCAUGUGAGGGGAGUGUAUCUUACAUGCAUGUAAGAUAGAGGCUAAUAAUAUUAUAUGGUAAAAGCAUUAAACAAUUUUUUCAAAAUUUGGCUGGGGUAUAGCCCAGAUUUGCCCUAAAUACCUUCCACCAAAAAUUAAUAAAAUUAUGAUAAAAUUGGGAUCCACUUAAAAGUAGUUUUGAAAAUUACAUUACAUUACAUGCUAUAUCACCUAUUAAUAAGUUAAAUAUUUAUUUAGUUCUUAUAUUUUGAAUUAAGUGUCUAUUUAUCCCUAUACUUAAGAAAAUAUCUCAAAACAUCCUUAUUGUUAAGUAUGUUGCAAUCAUAUCUUUACUUUUUUUCUUUUCUUUAACAAUAAUACUCUUAUGACAAUAUUCUUGGAGAUAUUAAUGCAGAAAAUGACAAUUUACUAAAUUAACAUUAAAAGUAACAUAAAAUUUUGCAAACUUUUAUAUUAUUAUUUGACUUUUAGAAUUAAUUUGGUAAAUUACUUUUUGUAAAAUAAUUAGUGAUAAG